UAGGGAAUCUUCCACAAUGGGCGCAAGCCUGAUGGAGCAAUACCGCGUGAGUGAAGAAGGGUUUCGGCUCGUAAAGCUCUGUUGUUAAAGAAGAACACGUAUGAGAGUAACUGUUCAUACGUUGACGGUAUUUAACCAGAAAGUCACGGCUAACUACGUGCCGG
rnacentral:rRNA from 1 species